rnacentral:rRNA from 1 species
GAUGAACGCUGGCGGCGUGCCUAACACAUGCAAGUCGAACGGACUCGAUUCUUAGGAUGAGAGUUAGUGGCGCACGGGUGAGUAACACGUAGGUGACCUACCCCAGAGCGGGGGACAACUUCUCGAAAGAGAAGCUAAUACCCCGUAUGUUCAAUCAUUCGUUUGAUUGAGUAAAGCUCCGGCGCUCUGGGAGGGGCCUGCGUCCGAUUAGCUAGUUGGUGGGGUAAUGGCCUACCAAGGCGAUGAUCGGUAGCUGGUCUGAGAGGACGAUCAGCCACACUGGCACUGACACACGGGCCAGACUCCUACGGGAGGCAGCAGUGAGGAAUAUUGCGCAAUGGGCGAAAGCCUGACGCAGCAACGCCGCGUGGAGGAUGAAGGCCUUCGGUCGUAACUACCUUUCUGGAGAAGAGACAAGGACGGUAGUCCCACGGAAUAAGUACUCGGCUAACUACGUGCCAGCAGCCGCGGU